rnacentral:rRNA from 1 species
UACGGGGGGGGGCAAGCGUUGUUCGGAAUUACUGGGCGUAAAGGGCUCGUAGGUGGCCAACUAAGUCAGACGUGAAAUCCCUCGGCUUAACCGGGGAACUGCGUCUGAUACUGGAUGGCUUGAGAUUGGGAGAGGGAUGCGGAAUUCCAGGUGUAGCGGUGAAAUGCGUAGAGAUGCGGAGGAACACCGAUGGCGAAGGCAGCCCCCUGGGCGUA